CUUAGUUUGUAUAUAUAAUUCAUGAUAAACUAACAAAGUUUAGGUAAGAUAUUUCUAUGAAUCAGAUAAUUACAAGAGUAAUGGGACAGCCUCCCGUCCAAUAGAAAAAUCAAACAAAGUGACUUCAAAUACAAAAAAUAAAAAUCGAGAAACAAUGAAAAAAUCAACAUGAACCGUAGUUGCCCUCAGCUCAAAUACCUCUCUUCACGCCAGGUUAAAGUCGACUUCCAACCAUGAGAAUUUUCAAAACUGAAGCUGAGUCAAUCACAAGACUAUGCCUUUCUGACUCCAGAAGUUUAUUAUUGACCCUAUGGGCUAUGAAUAACCAGAAAGAUGAACAAUUCCUUUUUUUUAUAUUAAAAAAAAAUUGUGUAUGAAAAUCGAUAGCAAAAAAUGCAAAAGUAAAUGCACAUUAAAUAUUGCAGCAUAACAUUUUGAAACCUUUUAUGUUCCUCACUCCCUCUGAUGCGAACAACAAUGGGACUAGGUAUUAACCUUUUGUGUAUAUAAACUCUUCCCAAAAAGGUUGGAAAUAAGCAUAUCCUAGUGAUGUGCACCAUAGAAACAAGCAGGGAUUAACUUCAAUAUUGUGUAUAGUAGUACCCUCCUGGUUGCCCCAUACCACUGAGCUGUGGCAUUCCAUAAGGCAUCAUCAUUGGUUGAGGACUAGGGCCAUAAUACCCAGAGGCACCGCUAAUAUUGGCCAAACCCACUUGACCUUGCAUCCCAUCUCUUCCAUAUUGUUGCCAAAUCUGCUGUUCCUGAACCAGCAAGUGCUGCUUCCUUUCCAUGUCUGCUAUCUGCACAUAUGAAGGGGGAGGAACUGCAAAGGAUGCAGCAAAUGGAUCCUGGUUCCCAACUGGCUGGAACGUCCCAUCAGGUGCAGGCAAUGCCAACACUGGUGUUGCACUCUUCCCUGGGCAAGGCAAUGCCACACUACUUGCACUCCCAGCACUCAAUUGAGUAGUGUUCACAUGUUGCCUCACUGCUCCCUGAUCAUACAUUCCAUUCAAUAGCAGUGGAUCCAUACCACCCCCUAAAGUAGCUUUCUGCUUUGAUAGAUUACUAGUUGAUUCCACCAAUGCCAAUUCCCAAUCUGCUUUGCCACUCUCAGCAGCUGGUGUCUGCCAAGCUGAAGUCACUUCAGAAUCUCCAUUCGAUGGGAAUGCUUCCCAUGAAUUAUUUGUACAGGUAGUUGGAGGUCCAUUGAACAAAGCCAAAGCCAAUUUGUUGCCUUGCUCAUCAGCUGAAACUGCAUCGUCCUUCAAAUUCACCAAAUCCUCUGUUAUCUGAUGCGGUUGUGGCUUUGGCUGUGGCUCAGUAGGUGGUGUAGGGAUAUAAUUUUCUGGUGGAGGAAGAGCCUUGACCUCAUUCAUAUCCGGUUCUGGUUCCUGCUUAAUAGAAACCUUCUCCUCCUUACUUCUCUCCGGACCCUUAGAUGUCUUGUUAGUCAUUUCUUUCAAAAAUCCUUCAAGUGUCCCCAACAGCUGAUCAGUAAUUCUCUGCACAGCAGGGAAUUCAGCUGAUCUUGCAAUCCCUAUAUCCCUACACCAACCAUAAAACCCAACAAGUUCAUCUAUCAUCCUUGCUGCACUAACAUACAUAUCAAAUCCCUUAACACAAUCUGCAUAAUCCAUCUCAGUAAAUCUAUCCAACAACAACCCCAAUGCCUCACAUAUAUCAACAUAAAGCCCAAAACUUUCCUUCACCACCCUGUAAAGUGAUACAAGCACCAACCUGCUAUUCUUUGCCAUCCCCGUUGGCCUACAAGCCAAAACUCUAUCAAGCAUCCUCAACAACUGAUUCAAUUUGCCUAAAACCCUCUCUGGUCUCAAUUGUCUAAUCGGAGAGGCCUCUCUCCUCUGUUCUUUUCCAACUGAAUCACCAUUCAAAUCACCAUAAGCCCUCGAUCUCUUAGGCAUCCCAUAAUCAAAAUCAUCCCUAUGUUCUCUUGGUCCAAACCCAUCAUAACCCUCAUCAAAUUUCCUUUCAAUGGCUUUCAAUUUCUGCUCAGAAAAUGCAAACUCAACUUUCUCAUCAAGAUACAUUGCAUAAAACCUCACAAACGCGGCAUGAUCCCACGAAUGGGAGUGUGCCUCAUCUCUAAAACCCGACAUAUUCAAAACACGCAUCCCUCUCCUUGUGGCAUACACAAUCUCCUCCUCAAAUGAAGGGUGGCCAUCAACCAGAAGCCUAUGAACAAGCAUCAAAGCCUUGAUCGCCACAAUCCAGUCAUGCGUUUUGCUUAGGCGUCUAGAUACAGUAGCUACACAAGCACUAACAUAACCCCUAGAAUAAGAAGUAAGGUUUAUAAUCUCUCUAAUGUACUUCUCAUCGGCAGGGUCUUCAUCAUGGCUAGUAACUUUAACAACCAAAACUUCGAGGUCCGGAGCUAUGUUACCAGCCACUUUGGCUAUGCUUAUGCUUGUUUGAUCUUUUACGGCGCCGAUCGCUUUGCGGAUCGUGCUGGUUGCCAUUGGUUUUGCUUAUGUGAUCAAAGUGUUUGAUACUAUUCUGUGGUCGGAGUUGUCAAUCAGGAGAUCUACUGACCGGAGUAGAGGAUCCGGAGAAUCCAAAAGGAGGGGAAGGUACAGUAGUAAUGUAUGUAUGUUAAAAUGCGUCUCCGCGUGAGAGUGUGUGCGUGUUAAGUAACGACGAGGGCGGGCAGCACAGGCUGCUAAAAAGCUAAUGCACGGGAAGUCCCAUUUUGC
rnacentral:misc_RNA from 1 species